CCCUUAGAUGUUCUGGGCCGCACGCGCGCUACACUGAUGCAUUCAACGAGCCUAUCCUUGACCGACAGGUCCGGGUAAUCUUUGAAUCUGCAUCGUGACAGGGAUAGAUUAUUGCAAUUAUUAAUCUUCAACGAGGAAUGCCUAGUAGGCGCAAGUCAUCAGCUUGCGUCGAUUACGUCCCUGCCCUUUGUACACACCGCCCGUCGCUCCUACCGAUUGGGUGUGCUGGUGAAAAGUUCGGAUCGGCCGUUUGUCGCGGUUUCCGCGUCAUGUGGCUGAGAAGUUCAUUAAACCCUCCCACCUAGAGGAAGGAGAAGUCGUAACA
rnacentral:rRNA from 1 species